rnacentral:rRNA from 1 species
UACGGAGGAGGCAAGCGUUAUCCGGAAUUAUUGGGCGUAAAGCGUCCGUAGGUGGCCAUGCAAGUCUGCUGUCAAAGCAUGGAGCUUAACUCCAUAGAGGCAGUGGAAACUGAAUAGCUAGAGUUCGGUAGGGGUAGCGGGAAUUCCCAGUGUAGCGGUGAAAUGCGUAGAGAUUGGGAAGAACAUCGAUGGCGAAAGCGCGCUACUGGGCCGAAACUGACACUGAGGGACGAAAGCUAGGGGAGCGAACAGG